rnacentral:rRNA from 1 species
UACGGAGGAUGCAAGCGUUAUCCGGAUUUAUUGGGUUUAAAGGGUGCGUAGGCGGAACGAUAAGUCAGUGGUGAAACGCAUCGGCUCAACCGAUGAACUGCCAUUGAAACUGUCGAUCUGGAAUACGGAUGCUGUGGGAGGAAUGUCUAGUGUUGCGGUGAAAUGCAUAGAGAUUACACAGAACACCGAUUGCGAAGGCAUCUCACAAAUCCGUUAUUGACGCUGAGGCACGAAAGUGUGGGGAUCAAACAGGAUUAGAUACCCUGGUAGUCCACACUGUAAACGAUGAUAACUCGCUGUCGGCGAUAUACAGUCGGUAGCUGAGCGAAAGCGAUAAGUUAUCCACCUGGGGAGUACGACCGCAAGGUUGAA